GCAUAUCAAUAAGCGGAGGAAAAGAAACUAACAAGGAUUCCCCUAGUAACGGCGAGUGAAGCGGGAAGAGCUCAAAUUUGAAAUCUUCAAGGUUUGACCUUGACGAAUUGUAGUUUAAAGAAGUGUUUUCGGUUAGAGGAGUGGUAAAAGUUCUUUGGAAUAGGACAUCAUAGAGGGUGAGAAUCCCGUAUUUGACCAUUCUUUCUAGCUUUGUGAUACACUUUCAAAGAGUCGGAUUGUUUGGGAAUGCAGUCCAAAAUGGGUGGUAAAUUUCAUCUAAAGCUAAAUAUUGGCGAGAGACCGAUAGCGAACAAGUACCGUGAGGGAAAGAUGAAAAGAACUUUGAAAAGAGAGUUAAACAGUACGUAAAAUUGUCAAAAGGGAAGCGUUUGACACCAGUGUUGUUUUUCCGAAAAUCAAUUAAAAAUAAAUUCAUGCCAGGUUGUAUCGACCUUAUCAGCUUGCAAUUUGGUUUUGGGUUUCUUUUUGAUGCACUUUUCGGUUAACAAGUCAACAUCAAUUUCCUUUGCUGUAAAAAGACAAGAGGAAGGUGGCUUCAAUUUCGGUUGAAGUGUUUAUAGCCUUUUGCCUCUGCAGUCGGGGAGAUUGAGGUCUGCAGCGUAGAUCCUUCGGGGCUAGAUACAGUCGUGCUAAGUUAUAGCCAUUUAUAGACAACUUGUUGACUAUGAUUGGUCAUGUAGCUUACUCGCGAUUGCUAUUUUACCUACGCUUAGGAUGUUGACAAAAUGGUUUUAAACGACCCGUCUUGAAACACGGACC
rnacentral:rRNA from 1 species